UACGAAGGGGGCUAGCGUUGCUCGGAAUGACUGGGCGUAAAGAGUGUGUAGGCGGUGCUCCCAGUCUGUUGUGAAAUCUCCCGGCUUAACUGGGAGGGUGCAGCGGAAACUAGAGUGCUAGAGGGUGGGAGAGGUAAGCGGAAUUCCUGGUGUAGCGGUGAAAUGCGUAGAUAUCAGGAGGAACACCUGUGGUGUAGACAGCUUACUGGACCACUUCUGACGCUGAGACACGAAAGCGUGGGUAGCAAACAGG
rnacentral:rRNA from 1 species